GUUCUCUUCUAUUCAUCCUCAACUAGUUGAGUUUGGUUUCUAGUUAACUGAAAAUUAGUGAAAGAUGUGCCAUGAGAUGCAGUUGCACCAUUUACUUGAAAAAAAUGUCCAGUGUUUCAAGUAAUUACUAGAAAAGAACCCACAAAUAGUAUAAACUUUGAAUUUCAAUAAAUUUGCCUUUCCAAUAGAAGAAGAGAAGUAUAGAAAAGUAGAUGGGAUGGGGGAUGAGCAACCAUGUUAUGCUCUAGCUAUCUCUUCAAAGGACCAUAACACAUUUUCAAGAGCCUAUUUUAAUAACUUUUUUUUUUGCACUGUCCAUAAUGAAGCAUUUCAACAUGACCAUAACACAUUUUCAAGAGCCUAUUUUAAUAACUUUUUUUUUUGCACUGUCCAUAAUGAAGCAUUUCAACAUGACCAUAACACAUUUUCAAGAGCCUAUUUUAAUAA
rnacentral:misc_RNA from 1 species